UACAGAGGGGGCAAGCGUUGUCCGGACUGACUGGGCGUAAAGCGCGCGCAGGCGGUCACGGGCGUCGGUGCUGAAAGUGCGCCGCUUAACGGCGCAAUGCGUGCCGAUACGCCGUGACUGGAGCGCGGGCGAGGGUGGUGGAAUUGCCGGUGUAGUGGUGAAAUGCGUAGAUAUCGGCAGGAACACCUGUGGCGAAGGCGGCCACCUAGCCCGCUGCUGACGCUGAAGCGCGACAGCGUGGGGAGCGAACUGG
rnacentral:rRNA from 1 species